UUUCAUUUACAAUGCUGUAUUAAUUUCUGCGGUACAGCAAAGUGAGGAGUGGGCUGGUGUCCGCGCUCCGCACACAUGCUCCUGAGUGUGCAGUUUGCAGAGCUCGGAGGCGACACGACCCCCUCAAGUACUCUGGACGACUCCCUCUGCCACGUAGAGCGGGAGCCCCCGGGCCACUUUCCUGGCGUCGGAGGAGCCGAUCAUCGCGGGCGCCACAGGACGUCCUAGAAGGACGCGGGUCCAGGGCAGAGGCUCUGGGCUUGGUACCGCCCACCGCCUCCCACCAGGUAGCUUUUGGCCAAAUUACUGGCCUGCUGGAGCCUCCGUCUCUGCCUCUCUGACCUUGGGGUGCCAGCCUCUUCUCUGGCGGGGCGGCAGCUCGGAUGGGUUGUUGCCUUGGUUUCCCGGGUGUGAUGUCACAGCACACAGUGACAUCAGCAUGAGGUUUGGCUGCCUGCCGCCGCUGGGGUACCAGGUCCUUCACGCUGGCCCAGAGUGGGGCUGCAUCCUAAAGUCUGCCCGCUGCCCCUCCACCGGCCCCCAGGCCUUCACGUGGCUUUGGUGUGUGGCUGGCGCCGGCCAGGUCCCCUAGCCACUUGCCUGUCUCCCUGCGGCCUUCAAGCUCCCCAAGGCGGGCGGGUACCCAUCCUGUCCAGAUCCCAGCCCCCCAGGGUGCUGUGGGCCCAGGGCUGGGACCCCAAAGUGUCAAAUCAACGAGUGGCUCUGCCAUCCCCGGCUCAGACCGUGGCUCCGUCCCGCACUGUCCCCAGGCCACCUCCCAGGGAGCUGGCGGGCAGAAUUCCUCAGCGGCUUAACAGAAAGCUGGGAGGGCAUCUUCCCGGGAAAAUGGCCCACGUCCUGGUGCAGCUGUUCUGGAAAAUUACUGAACCACAUAAAAAAUGCCCACGUUCCUGGCUCUGUCGUUUCAUCGCCCGCCGGUGGCCGGGCCUCCUCGGAAGAAAGACAAAGGGAAGAGCGAGCAGGGGUCGGCUGACACCACCGCGGGCCCCGGGGCUUGCCUGGGGGGCUGGGCUGGAGCUCCGUUUUCUCACCACACACGGGCCGGAAGAUUUUGCAUGUUGUCGUUGUGUAAAGGGCUGUCUGUGGUGCCACGGGAUGGGGUGUGAGAUGCAGGUGGAUCUGCACAUCGGUGGGCCUUGGCCCUGGGUGCCAGGUCGGGGGUGCCGCUCUGGGCGGGAGGCAGGCUUGGGCAAGGAAGGCCAUCCUCCGUCCCCUCCCUGGCUCUGCCCAGCUGCAGUCUCUCUGAAGUUGGGUCUUGGCAGUUGUGAGGCCUCUGCUGGCAAAACAAGGCUGGCAGACCCCUGCGGCUGAGCUGUUGAAUGCCACGCGGGCAGGGGGCCUUUCCUCCCCCGCUGGCUCUGGAGCUGGAACCCAGCCAGCUCUGACUCGAGGUGCCGUCACCGCCGCAUGGUGGGAGGGACAUGAGACCCUCAGGAGCCCUGUGGGGACGCAGGCUCGGUUUGGUCGAUGGACGAGGCGCAAACAGAACAGGCCUGGAGCUGGACUUCUUUUCGUUGGAAGGAGAUGUGGGAUUUACUUGGGUGACUCCUCCAGGGGGCGGGGGCUGGGGGGAUGACAACCUAUUUUUAAAGACGCCAGUGGAAAAGUCUUCUUGCAGCUGUGAAAAUACUGCCGGGGUCAGUCAUUCUGGCCCGCGUGUGACGUCUCCGUGAGCGCUGGCGCUGCUGUUUGUUCCAGAGCCUGGAAGGCAGGGUCAGCUUUUGCCCUCCAGAGCCCGAGUUGAAACACGCCCCGGGGGCCUAAGACGCGUUUUUAUCCCUCCCUCCCGCGGGUCCUUACCUGCUGUCAGACCUGCCCUCGGGUCCUCCCUUCUGGCAUCUUCCUAGGCACCUGGAGCAAUCGCGAGGGCGAGAGCCGCCAAGAUGGAUGCUGACGCCCCGAGGAGCAAGGAGCGGGAGAGGGUUGUUUGUUCUGUGCAUUUGCUGGGCCGCCCUCCUAAGCACUUUAUCGGAAAACCGCACACACCCUCUCUGGGCCUCUGGAUAAAUGUCCCUAAAAAGCUGACAUCCCGAGGGGCCCUUUGAUGGCUCUGAUGGCUCUGUCUGGGGUGCCUGGAAGCCUCCACGGCCCCGUCCUCUAAUCUCAGCUACAAGCCCUCAUCCCGGGUUGCCUCUCUGCGGCCCCAGUGAGCUCCUCGGGAUCACACUGACGGAGGGUUUCGGACUCGCUCUGGGCUUCCCUCUGUUCCUUCCACGGUCCUGGGGGGAGGGUGCGGCGGGGAGGCCGCGGGACCCACCUGACGGGUGGAGAAGCAGAGGCUCAGGUGUGUGGAGCCUCUGAGCAAGAGCGCUCAUUCCUUCAGGUCUCAGAGGAGUUCCCACUGCUGUGCAUUGGGUUAAGGAUCUGACUGCAGCGGCUCGGGUGGCUGUGGAGUGGCGGGUUCCAUCUCUCGCCUAGCUCAGGGGGUUAGAGGAUCUGGUGUUGCCACAACCGUGGCUCGGAUUUAAUCCCUGGCCCCGGGAGCGUCCAUAUGCCAUGGGUGUGGCCGUGCAAAGAAAAAAGACAUCUCGGAUGCAAAGAGGCGCCUGUGCCGUAAGAGGGGACACAUCUAAAGGGAACUUGUCCUUGGUCCCAGGCCUGGGUGUUAAGAGGGGCUUCUGCUGUGCUGCGUAUCUGUGACCCUGUAACUGGUGCGACGCGACGAGCGUCUUUGUGCUGAUUUUCCUCAGCGGGGCCUCCCUCGCCCCCUUUGCCGGGGGGGACGGUUACUGCCAGGGGCUAACUCUGCACUGAAGCUUAUGCAGUGCUUUCCACCCCUUCCCCGAGAGAGGCCAACUUUGGGUUCUCUGGAGGCUGUGCCUUUUAUGGUAAGUGGCUGAGCGUCUCUGAGCCCCAGGCUAGGAGAGGUCCCACCCCGAGGGGAGCUGGGGAGAUUCUGUGAGCUUACGGUGUGGGGGCUCAAUGGACCCUGCUUAUCUCAUGGGUACUGUAAGAGCCGGGGAGGGAGUGGUGGGAUUUGGGGAGGCAGAGGAGAGGGGGGCCAGGCGCCACUGCGGGAGUGAGAGCUGGUCAAUGCUUAACAACAAACUCUCUGGAAAGAAGAGUAAAAAGCCCUGAUUCGUCCAUCCACCGAUUUCUCCGGUGUAAAUACUCCCAACGUGGCAGGGGUCGCGCUGCUAAAAGCAGAGCUGGGAAGUAGCACAGUCAGCGCUGGGAGCCCAGGCGGCUGGGGAAGGGCAUCUGACGCCCGGGGGCAGGGGUCGAGGGAGGCAGGUCCAUGGACACUUCGUGUCCACUGUCCCGUGGGGGCCUCCUAACGGCCUUACAAGGCAGGGCUCUUGGGGCAGGAGCGAGUGGGCUCCGGGCUCCACUAGCAGCCUCUGCGUCACAGCGGCAGGACCUCACAGGUGCCGUCGUGGUGCUUGGCGCAGAGGAGCUUGGAAGUCACUUGUUCGGCCUCUGCGUCCGAGAGGCGCUUUGGGGAGGCGGUCCUGCCGCUCCCUGUCCCGCACGGGCCCUGGUGCUGCGGCGGCGCAGUCUGGCUCCUCGGAGACGUUUCAUGGCCCUUCCUCCUUCCUCUCCCGCCUCCCACCCUUGUUUGCGGGCUGCAGCCCCGCCCACGUCCCCUGUCUCUACCGGAGAAGCCCUGUGGGUGACAGCCUCCCUCACACGCCCCAAGUGUCCCUCCUCCAGCAGCACCUUACAGCUCCGGCCAGGGCCACCGUCCCCAGCUCGUCCUGACGGAUUCCCAGGGCUUCCUGCAGAGCAGCAGCCCGGUUCCGGCCCUUGGGACUGGGAGGAAGGUGUUGCUAAGGGAGCUGAUGCUUAUUCCAAACCAUGAGCCGAGACGCACUCCGAUGCGUCCCCAGAGCCACAAUCCGGAGAACCCCAAAUCCCCACAAACUGAGUUUUUGCAGUGGAAGUUUGCCCAUGGUAACGGCCGGGGGCCAGGCCCCACCUGCUGCCACUCCCUACCCUGCCAGCUCUUCGUCAUGGCCCUGCUGGCGGGUCACAGGGUCCCCACCGUGGAUGGCCUUGGCCUCAUUUCCAGGCUCUGGUAUUUUCCUCUCACCUCUCACAUCGCUGCUUCCUGGGCACAGUGCCUGCCCCUGGCACUGCCUUGGUGCCUUUUCCAACUGCCCUCUCGGUCUGGAGCCCCCUUUUUUGCCAUCCUUCAAGCCCAGCCCAAGGCCCAGAUCUUUCAGAAGACGCCCGUUUGUCCCCCUGGUGGCAUGGUGGCUCCUGCGGCUCCUUCUCGUCUUCCGUGAGGUCACGAGGCUCCCGCCUCACCGGGCAGGAAAGACGGGUCUGCUCAGGCGUGGCUCACCCUCGGGGUGGUGCUGACGCUUCUCCUGGUCACGGGUGCCCAGGAUGCCAGCCUUGGAGCCAGGAGGGCUGGGCCCCGGCCCCUCCACCUGUGAACUGUGAGUUUAGACCUUGCCUAUGUGAAAAAGACCCCACUGAGAGAAAAGUGGGUGACAGUGUCUGGAGUCAUGGAUUAUGCGAACCACCCAGGGGAGCAACGGAGCCACGCCGAGGCCCGGAAGCCACGGAGACGGCCACCCGCAUCCCGAAGGCUUGGGGAAGGGCGCCGCGUUUGAGAGUCCAAAGAGCCCUUUCGGCCAGGCUGGCUCCCCGGGCGCUGCCUUGGUUCCCCGUCCCGCAGACGGUCAGCGGCUGUCACUUCCUGCCCUGUCGGCGGCUGUACUGGGCACAACAGGAGAGGCAGGGAAACCUCUGCCGUGGGAGCGGGAGCCCGGAGUUGGCCCCUGGGGCUGGAAGAGCCAAGAGCGGUCGGAGCCCUCCUCCGCCUCCCCCUUGUUUCGGGGGCUCUGGAUUUCCACAUCCGUGAAGGACACGGGCAUCUCCAAACAGGCCGGCCUCGGGCUUUGUGAAAUCCUACCUGAAUCCCCGCCGUUAGCAAAGUGACUCAGAUGUGGGCUGAACGAUCCCUUUGUUCCAGGGAGAAAAUGGUUUCUGCUGAGUGAUCAUCUAGAAACGACUGCAUCUGAUUAGCCGUGGCUUUAUCUUCCCGCGGCGCGCGGGUUUAAUGACGUUCUCGGGAGGACCGUCGAGUCGGGGUGGGGGAAGGGAGCCUUCUUUCUCGGCCGACCUUGAAGGAGGCGGCUGGGCCGGGUUCCCGUCCCGGGAUGCCUGGUGCU
rnacentral:lncRNA from 1 species